CGGGUGGUAAUGCCGGAUGUUCCAGUUGAUCGCAUGGUCUUCUGGGAAAGCUUUCGCGGUAUGGGAUGGGGUCGCGUCCUAUCAGCUUGACGGCGGGGUAACGGCCCACCGUGGCUUCGACGGGUAGCCGGCCUGAGAGGGCGACCGGCCACAUUGGGACUGAGAUACGGCCCAGACUCCUACGGGAGGCAGCAGUGGGGAAUAUUGCACAAUGGGCGCAAGCCUGAUGCAGCGACGCCGCGUGAGGGAUGGAGGCCUUCGGGUUGUAAACCUCUUUUAUCGGGGAGCAAGCGUGAGUGAGUUUACCCGUUGAAUAAGCACCGGCUAACUACGUGCCAGCAGCCGCGGUAAUACGUAGGGUGCAAGCGUUAUCCGGAAUUAUUGGGCGUAAAGGGCUCGUAGGCGGUUCGUCGCGUCCGGUGUGAAAGUCCAUCGCUUAACGGUGGAUCCGCGCCGGGUACGGGCGGGCUUGAGUGCGGUAGGGGAGACUGGAAUUCCCGGUGUAACGGUGGAAUGUGUAGAUAUC
rnacentral:rRNA from 1 species